rnacentral:lncRNA from 1 species
CUUCUUGGCAUUAGUUCCCUCUGGUCUCUUCUGCUCUCACCAUUAAAAACUCAUUCCAUCCUCUCACUUUUCGUGGUGCAGCUUUCACCUUUUGUAGUAUGACUUCCUGGAUCCUAGCUACAAUUACAGCCUGAGGUGUGUUGCUGGCAAUAUGUGGCCCCAGGGGAGAGGCAAAAGUGGAGGUUCCCGAGUCAUCUGAGAUUUGUUGCCUCGGAACAGGAUCCACAGCUCAAUAAUAGUCACUGUACUGUCAUUGUUUAUUUGAAAUCUAAAGGUGUAAUGCAAGAAUAUGCAAGACCACAGGGACUGGAGACACAAAGAGCAUCUGAAGAGAGCUUGAAUGACUCCCAACAGUUCCAGUCUCAAAGUUACCAUGUGCAGCACAGUCAGGGCAGCAUGUGAGAAGAACAACAAGAAAGCUGGGGUCUGCCAGAGAAGACGGAAGCCCUCACAUUAAACUGAGUCAGCUGGCAUCUUGAUCUUGG